GGGGGAGGUAUUAGGGCCUAGAUAUUAGGGGAAGGUAUUAGGGGCUAGGUGUUAGGGGCUAGGUAUUAGGGGAAGCUAUUAGAGGCUAGAUAUUAGGGGAUGGUAUUAGGGGGAAGGUAUUAGGGGAUACGUAUUAGGGGAAGGUAUUAGGGGAUAGGUAUUAGGGGAAGGUAUUAGGGGAUACGUAUUAGGGGAAGGUAUUAGGGGCUAGGUAUUAGGGGAAGCUAUUAGGGGCUAGGUAUUAGGGAAAGAUAUUUGGGGCUAGGUAUUAGGGGCUAAGUCUUAGAGGCUAGGUAUUAGGGGAAGAUAUUAAGGGCUAGGUAUUAGUGGCUAGGAUUUAGGGGCGAAGUAUACCUCGGCAUGCUAGAGCAGCUGUAAGUUCUAUGGCAGAAUCUCAUUACCAUCCUAACAGCUUGCAGAUUCAUUUGCAUUUUUCCGUGAG
ensembl:lncRNA